GCUCCGGGUUUCACAGCUGGAUCCGAAUGGUUGUGGGGGGGUUUUUUCCCCCAGAAUUGCUUUUCUCCCUUCAGAGAGAUUAAAGAGGUGGGGGCCCCGGGGAUAAAAGGUCGGGGACAGAGGGAAAUAAACCAGAAACGCAUGGAUUCCCGGUAUGAGGCUGCAAGUUAAUGCUUUUUCCUCGUGUGUGUGUGUGUGUUGUGAUUUUCCAGAGAAGUGGCGCUGAUUUUCUUACUGGCACGUUCGGUGAGUCAUGCGUGAGUCAGACACGUGGGUGGGAGCGAUCCGUCCUGCCGUGUUGUUUUUCGCCCGCUCCAUCCUCUGCUCCCAACUCCGCCACUGUAGUAUCCGGGCAGAUCACAAGUCAUGUGAUUGCCGACUUGCAGCGUUUUACCUCCUUUACGGGAAAAAGGCGCUGCGCUCGUCGCCGCGUUGUACAUGCGCUUCGGCACAGAAGGCGUAAGAGCUCCUCGUCCCCGUGGCUCCACUGUCCGAGUCCACCGUGAAGGCACCACGAGGUCCUCGCGAAUCACUGGCGUCAUGGUCAUCAAUAUGUAGUCAUCCAGACUGGCAGGAAAGGUUCCUGAAGAUGUCCGGAGCAACAUCUGUGGACGCUUGCGUUGUCACACACAGCCCCUCCUGGUAAUUUCAGGAAACUGCGCGGUCUUCAGUGCCUGUCUGAAAGCGGCUUUGGUUUGGACUUGUGCCAAGCUGUCCUGGAAAGCGGACGUGUGGGGUUUGACAGAUGUGGCUGUUUGUUGGGCAGGGGGAAUCUAAUGAAGGACACUAUUCAGUUUCUUUAUGGAAAAUGUAAGCCUGACUGAGGGCUGGGAUCAGAACUAGUUUGUACAACGUGUCUUAAGACCACAUUGGAAUAAUCAACAGUCUGUGCUGAAAAUCAUUCGUAACGGUAAACUCAGUUGUUUACAAGGGAAGUGGCAAAAAAAUAUUGUUGUGUCAAGAAUGAGUAAAGAGAUCUCUGCGCAGCUUGCCCAGCGUGGCUCGAAGUGGGUGUGAAUGUAUCAUGGCUGGUUUGGGAAAGUUACACUGAAAUGGUUUAACACAAACGCCCCAUCCCCAAAUCCAACAUCAACCAGGUGUGCGAGGAGGGGGUUUCACCAGCUGUCCAUAAAAGUCAGGAUAUUUCA